rnacentral:lncRNA from 1 species
UUCUGGAGGAUCGUUGGUUUCCCUUCCCUUGUAGGUUCAGCUCAGAUGAAAGUAUUCAGAGGCAAUAUGCAAAAUGGCCCUGUGCCUUCUUAAAGGGGCUUAUGACAUAUGGAUUGAAUGAUCAUCUUUGAGGAUUAACUGGGCAUUUGUUCUGAGUGCAUUGUAGAAGCUACUGCCUCUGCCUGUGACUCAGUUUUUAGGCCCAGGAUGGGCCCCAAGGAGUUAAAACAAGGCAUGUCCAAUUAAAUAACUACCUGGCCGAGGAAGAUGCCGCACAUUCUGUACUUUCGAUUCUCAUGACAUGCUAUGAGAUGCCUGUUUAUCUGAGCGUACUGUGCAGGUGUGUGGUCUGGCGCUUGCAAGCAAGAUGAACAUGUCGGGAGAGGGAAAAGUAGGAGCAGGAGAGAGAAUACCUAACAAGUAAGGGCAAAAGAUUCCUAACUUUGGGUUAGGUAGAUGUGAAGGCACAAUAGGUGCAAGGAAGUUUCGAAGAGCGUACUAAUCCAAUUAUUAAAGUGCCAUAGAUGUACUUUGUGCAGCAAAGAAUAAUCUGAAAUAGUUUUUCUGUGAGUCCAC